rnacentral:lncRNA from 1 species
CUGCCUGUGGGCCUGCUUUCUAACAGGGCGAUCUGGCCAGGGCUCUGAAGGCUGCUUCUCUAUUCCUCACAGUGAGACUGAAUCUGAACUCAGACAUGUACAUCCAGGGACUCCAGCCUCACCAGUACAGAGCGGAGCAGCUGCACUUGCACUGGGGGAACCGCAAUGACCCCCAUGGCUCUGAACACACUGUGAGUGGGAAGCACUUUGCUGCUGAGGUGAGUGAAUGGCAGUAUGGCAGAGAGAACCUAGCACUGGGUCCCCCUUCCACAGCCACUGGGAUGGAGCAGUCUUCACAGCCUUUGUCUCCACUAUUCUGUCUACAGCACGGGAAGGUCUCCCUCCCCUGCACUUAUCCGGGUCUUUGUCCCUUCCUUUGUUGGGCCACGCUGAGUUUGCCUGUUCCUUUCACUGUAUGAUGCUGUUGAGAAGGCUGGCCUUGCAGAUUCCUGGUGGGAUGCAUCUAGACAACCCCCGCUUUGUGCGGAUGAAGACCUCACAGCGUGCCUGGCUGCC